UACGUAGGGGGCAAGCGUUGUCCGGAUUUAUUGGGCGUAAAGAGCGUGUAGGCGGCCAUGUAGGUCCGUUGUGAAAACUCGAGGCUCAACCUCGAGACGCCGAUGGAAACCAUAUGGCUAGAGUCCGGAAGAGGAGAGUGGAAUUCCUGGUGUAGCGGUGAAAUGCGCAGAUAUCAGGAAGAACACCAAUGGCGAAGGCAGAUCUCUGGGCCGUAACUGACGCUGAGGAGCGAAAGCAUGGGGAGCGAACAGG
rnacentral:rRNA from 1 species